rnacentral:tmRNA from 1 species
GGGGGCGACAGGCUUCGACAGGAGUUUGUACGGUCUUUGGAUGCACGUCGGGCUUUCUUUGUGUAGCCCGUUAACAAAUACAAAGAAAAACAAUUGCCAACCAAGAAUUGGCUCUCGCAGCCUAGUUAAUAACUAGUCACGAGCGUUUCGCCGUCAGUUGCUCACGCUAAACGGAGUUGAAAUGUCACACAAUUUGAGCUAGUUCGCGUUCUCCGUUUGCGGCGCGAGCGAAAAUUAAGUCAAACUGGUUUGGCGUAAGGUCUUGUCAAUUCACUUACUUACGCCGAACGAGAUUCUAAAAAAAGAGAAUUGACUAAACGUGUAGAUGCCACUGAUGGCGACUUUUGGAUGCGGGUUCGAUUCCCGCCGCCUCCACCA